UAGCUCAGUAGCAGAGUUCUUGCCUUGAAUGUAUGAGGUCCUGGGUUUGAUUCCCAG
rnacentral:tRNA from 1 species